ACGACCCCAGGUGACGCCGUCCCCACACCAUGACCCUCCCGCGCCUGGCCCUGCUCCUGGCCCUGCUCCUGGCCCCCGGUCCCCGGCCCCCCACUGCCGGCGUCCCCCAGGACCCCCCCGCGACGCCGUCCCCACCAGCGCCCGACCUUGCGCCCAGCACACCGGCCGCUGCCGUCGCUUCUGCUUCGCCCACGAGACCCAGCGGGGACAUUUCGGUUGUCCCCCGGCGCUACCGGUGCUGCGUGCCCAAAAUGUAGCGGCGGGAUGGAAGUGACGAUGCUGGGGGCCGUCCCGCAUCCUUCCCCGGCGGGGUCAUCUCCCUUGGGAUUUUCCCAAUAUUGGCUGGAUUGCACCCGUUUUGGGAGGAUUUUAUUUGGCAGCAGCACGUGGACGUGAGGUCGCUGUCACUGUCGGGAUGCCACAACCUGUCCCCUAAGGAGCAGAAUAAACCCCCCCCCUGAGAUUUGAGUGCUUUUUCCCAUGGGAAUACGGGGCAAAACUCAGCCUCAACCAGGAAAGUGACGAAAACGGGAUUAAAAAAUGGGGACCAGCUGCUCUCAGUGGUACCUUCUGCUUUUUUGCUGCUACCAGGUGAAAAAUGCCGAUUUUUGGUGAUGCAGCGGCAUUUCGGGUGAUGUGCCGGCAUCCCCCCAGCCAACCCGCAGCAGAUCCUCCACCCCCGCCCAGGUUGCCAACAACAUCUAUCUGAUGGGUGAUUAAAAAGCCAAGCGUUAAUCAAAUAAAAGCUAUGCGAUGCCGA